rnacentral:rRNA from 1 species
GUUGGACGUGAAAGCCCUGAGCUUAACUUGGGGAGGCCGUUCAAUACUGUCAGGCUAGAGGGAGGCAGAGGAGAGUGGAAUUCCCGGUGUAGCGGUAAAAUGCAUAGAUAUCGGGAGGAACACCAGUGGCGAAGGCGACUCUCUGGGUCUACCCUGACGCUCAGAAGCGAAAGCCAGGGGAGCAAACAGGAUUAGAGACCCUGGUAGUCCUGGCCCUAAACCAUGGGUGCUAGGUGUGGGGGUGAACAACCUCCGUGCCGAAGCCAACGCGCUAAGCACCCCGCCUGGGGACUACGGCCGCAAGGCUAAAACUCAAACGAAUUGACGGGUCCCCGCACAAGCAGCGGAGCGUGUGGUUCAAUUCGAUGCUACACGAAGAACCUUACCUGGGUUUGACAUGUAGGUGGAGCGACCUGAAAGGGGAGCGCCCGCAAGGGAGCCUGCACAGGUGCUGCAUGGCUGUCGUCAGCUCGUGCCGUGAGGUGUCGGGUUAAGUCCCGUAACGAGCGCAACCCUCGCCCUUAGUUACAAGUGUCUAAGGGGACCGCCGGCGAUAAGUCGGAGGAAGGUGGGGAUGACGUCAAGUCAGCAUGGCCCUUUGACCCAGGGCUACACACACGCUACAAUGGCCGGUACAAUGGGGAGCGAGACCGUGAGGUGGAGCGAAACCCGCAAAGCCGGUCGUAGUUCGGAUUGGAGGCUGCAACCCGCCUCCAUGAAGCCGGAGUUGCUAGUAA